rnacentral:piRNA from 1 species
UAUGAAUGGUCUAAAAAUGUUGGAAGUCU